rnacentral:rRNA from 1 species
GUGCCAGCAGCCGCGGUAAUACGUAGGCAGCAAGCGUUGUUCGGAGUUACUGGGCGUAAAGAGUGCGUAGGUGGUUCUCUAAGUUCGGUGUGAAAUCUCCCGGCUCAACUGGGAGGGUGCGCCGAAAACUGGAGAGCUUGAGUAUGGGAGAGGAGAGCGGAAUUCCUGGUGUAGCGGUGAAAUGCGUAGAUAUCAGGAGGAACACCUGUGGUGCAGACGGCUCUCUGGACCAUUACUGACACUGAGGCACGAAAGCGUGGGGAGCAAACAGGAUUAGAUACCCUUGUAGUCC